GCUGGGUGUGGUGGUGCACGCCUAUAGUCCCAGCUACUCGGGAGGCUGAGACAGGAGAAUCACUUGAACCCAGGAGGCAGAGGUUGCAGUGAGCUGAGAUUGUGCCACUGCACUCCAGCCUGGGUGACAAAGUGAGAGUCUGUCUCAA
rnacentral:SRP_RNA from 1 species